UUCUAGCCCUGACAGCAGCGCCAUCCUUUUUUGCCGGGGUUCGGCAUAAAAGAUACAGCGGAUGGCAGGAAUAGCU
rnacentral:sRNA from 1 species